UACGGAGGAUGCAAGUGUUAUCCGGAAUCACUGGGCGUAAAGCGUCUGUAGGUGGUCAAAUAAGUCAACUGUUAAAUCUUGAGGCUCAACCUCAAAACCGCAGUCGAAACUAUUAGACUAGAGUAUAGUAGGGGUAAAGGGAAUUUCCAGUGGAGCGGUGAAAUGCGUAGAGAUUGGAAAGAACACCGAUGGCGAAGGCACUUUACUGGGCUAUGACUAACACUCAGAGACGAAAGCUAGGGUAGCAAAUGGG
rnacentral:rRNA from 1 species